CGUGAUCCACCCAUCCCAGAGAAUGACGUCAACCAAUGGCCCGUCGAGAGAAACCUACCUGGGAAGUAACCUUAUAAGACUGCCAAGUGGGAAGUCGGCUACCCUACAUUUCAGUCCCAUGGCUCUGACAAGCAAAUUCAUUGUGGUUGACCAGGAUGUGAGGAAAGUACCACCCUCUGGUGGUACGUAGAAGGUACUGCUCUCACAGCUUAGAAAGUAAAACAAAAUCACUUUGUCAAUUAAAGAAACACAGCAGAACCUAUAAUAACAUCGAAGAACCCAGAAAGUGAGAUCUUUAAUUAAACUAUAACUGAACCUUAAUUUUGUUUGUAUAUUUGCCAAUAGGGCACAUUUUAUAGACUGAGAGAUCAGCCAAGUACUCAACAAGUAACAUACGGAAGAUGCUAACAAGUGAAGCUAAUGAGAAGUGUAGCUCAGGCUCAAUUUGUACAUUCACAUACUAAUAUUUUCAAUAGCUAAUAUCUUCAUGGACCUUAUUCUAAGUGAGGUAAACUUUGGUAAUUCAGUUUUGGGGCACUGCUGCUGUUAUCAAAUCUUACAAAACUCAGAUAGGACAGAGACAUGGAGCUCCUGUGCUUUGUGGGGGUCUACUCACCGAUCCACACAGACUCUGGAACCCCUGACUGACAGAGAUCUGGCAGGACUUGGACAGCGAUGAAGAGAAAUUUGCUGGCCCUGCUGCAACUCGCAAUUCCUGAGCAGCUGAGCUGUUUGAAGAACCUGAAUCUUCUUGGUCUAAUGCCUGCCCUGCCAAGCAACCCAGGCCUUGGGACCAAACCACCAGCAAAGAACUGGCGUCGUGGGCUAUGCAUGGCAAAUUGUGGUCACUCAGUCACGGAUGACCUUUGAGGGACGUUUUGUGGGACGCAUGCGUAGGUGGUGGCAGCUAAAAUGUGCCUGCACGGAAGUGAGUUGCGCCGUCGAUCUGGAUGGUUACAUGCUUGUUUUCUAUCUUAUCUGAUUUAUUUUUGAGUUCUCAUAUUUAUGAUUUAUGAAUAUCCCACAAAAGCAGAAUACCUGUCAAGUACUGGUAUUCUUCACUGGUAGAUAAAAAGUGUUUCCUGUUGAGUGACUUGUUUGUAGUUCAUUACAAUAGAAUUUUUAAUCACCUAAAAUAUUAAUAUGUUAAAAAGCCUGCUCUGUAUAUUUGUCUGUUUCACUUCAUUUCUGCUCAUGAUUGCUGUAUAAUUUUGGAGAGGUAGCUGAAGGUGCAAACAAAAAUAAAAUAAAAUAAACUCCAAGCACUCCAGUGUUUGGCUACUCAAGAAAGGAUUUUUAAAUGCUUCAAACAGAAAGUGACUUCCAAACUAUCUGCAUGUAGUAUCUUUUUUAUCAUCCCUACUUAUAUAUUUAGCGGGCUAUUCUGUUGUAAUAUUUGUUAAAUAUCUGCGGAAUGGAAAUUGAGAUAUUUAGGCUACCUAAAUAACCUUACCUGUAACUGUUUUCCCAUGCUGCUAUCAUUUAACUGAGUAUGGAAAAGAGAUAGUAGGACAAAGAAAGUUAAUUUAUUUGAAAUAAUAUCUGAGUGUCAGUUUGUUAGUUGUUUAUGAAUUAACAAUUGCCAUUUAAACAGAUGUUUAGCUGCCAAGCAGCUUGUUUGUACAGUUGGUAUUUUUGACAUGACAAAUAAUAAUUAUUAUUGAACAUGCUAAUUACUUUCAAUUAUAAGCUUUUUUAAAGAGUGAACUGCCAGACAAAGGAAAUCUUUUUAAGAUUGAAAACUUGCUUUUGACACCAAGAUGCAGUUAUUGUGCUGACAGACUGAGAAAAUUGGAACAGGACCAAAUAAAUAAAUAAAUAAAUGGCUUCUACUGUCUUUUUCCUGUUACGUUUUAAGCUUAUAGUUUUAAAACAUUAUUAUUUUAAAUUAGAUAUUUUAUAUUAAAGGGUGUGGCCUGUGAUAGAUUGGCGGCCUGUCCAGGAUGUAUUCCUGCCUCUCACCAAAUGCACACUGGGAUAGGCUCCAGUACCCCCCAUGACCCUGACCAGGAAUAAGCAGGUAUAGAUAAUGGAUGGAUGGAUAUUAAAGUACUGUAAGUAUAAACAUAUUCAUUAAACAUUGGUUUAUGCUUAUGUAUUUUUAAAAAUACAUGUUGGUUGUGAACACACAAAAAGGAUUCAUUAAAAUGUACAUUUGCUUGUGUUGAUUCUGCUAAUAAAACUUGCA